CCUUGAAUGUGUGUGGAGUAUUGCUGGCACAUAAACCAGGUGAUUGAAGACCAGAAGAAGUCGAGGUCACCUUGUCCCACAUAGGACCAGCUGAAAGAACUUUGGCUCGGAAAAGAGGGAAGAGGAAGAAAAACUGUGGAACCUGAAAUGCCAUGCAGAGAAGGGAGAACUCACGGCACUUUGCAGAUACUGAGAUACACAAAGCUCCUUUGAGUGAAAUCAGAAGAAACGUUGGUUAUUGUUUUAAACGAGCAUAGUACUGACUCC
rnacentral:lncRNA from 1 species